rnacentral:rRNA from 1 species
CCAAAAACGGUUUCAUCCUUUUUAGACUUCCUUUUAAAUUAUUAAUUUUAUUAUGGUUUCUAAGUUUAUUUGAUUCUUAUUAAUUAUGGUAGUCAAAACAAUUUUACCUUACCAGUUAAAAAACUUAAUUUACAAUAUAACUAUUAGUUUAGCUGAGAUCAUUAUUCUUUAAGGUAAAUAAGGUGCCAGCAACCGCGGUCAUACCUUAUUUAAAGAUAUACUAUUUACAAAAAAGUUAUUAAUUCUUUACAAAAAAAAACUUUUCAGUGAAAUGAAAGUACCUCUUUUUUUUCUUUAAAGUUACUUUACAAUAAAAAUCAUUUUAUAAACUAGGAUUAGAUACCCUACUAUUUUGAUUUGAUUUGGCUUUUUUGAGGAUUCUAUUUACUUAAAAUUAAACUCAAAUAUUAUGGCGGCCGUAGAAAACCUUUAGGGGAACUUACCAGAUAAAUGAUAACCACCAAGAAAAUCUUCUUUAAUUUAUAAAGUUUGUAUGCCGUCGUCAUAAAGAUAUAUUUUAAAUAUAUCUUUUUAACUACUUAAAUAGUACUAUGACAGAUCAAGGUGCAGCUAAUAUUAAUGAUUCUAGGCGAGUUACAAUAAUAACUUAUUUACGGUUAUAAUAAGUUAUUCUUAUUACAUAAGCAGGACUUAAAAGUAAAAAAUAAAUACAUUAUAUUAUUUGAAUUUUAUUAUUUCUACAGUGU